CUCGCUUCUCGGCCUUUUGGCUAAGAUCAAGAGUAGUAUCUGUCCUUAUCAGUUUAAUAUCUGAUACGUCCUCUAUCCAAGUACCAUCUCUAAACUUAGUACUUACCAUCCUCACCUCGAUCAGCUUUCCAGGUCAGAUGAGAUCCAGGAAAUGAGG
rnacentral:snRNA from 1 species